AGUGAACGCUGGCGGUAGGCUUAACACAUGCAAGUCGAACGGCAGCACAGGAGAGCUUGCUCUCUGGGUGGCGAGUGGCGGACGGGUGAGGAAUACAUCGGAAUCUACUCUGUCGUGGGGGAUAACGUAGGGAAACUUACGCUAAUACCGCAUACGACCUACGGGUGAAAGCAGGGGACCUUCGGGCCUUGCGCGAUUGAAUGCGCCGAUGUCGGAUUAGCUAGUUGGCGGGGUAAAGGCCCACCAAGGCGACGAUCCGUAGCUGGUCUGAGAGGAUGAUCAGCCACACUGGAACUGAGACACGGUCCAGACUCCUACGGGAGGCAGCAGUGGGGAAUAUUGGACAAUGGGCGCAAGCCUGAUCCAGCCAUACCGCGUGGGUGAAGAAGGCCUUCGGGUUGUAAAGCCCUUUUGUUGGGAAAGAAAUCCAGCUGGCUAAUACCCGGUUGGGAUGACGGUACCCAAAGAAUAAGCACCGGCUAACUUCGUGCCAGCAGCCGCCGUAA
rnacentral:rRNA from 1 species